GGGGGUGUACCGGUUUCGACUGGUACGGUUCGGGGUGCAGGUUGCAGGUGGAGCGCCGACCUCCUGAUUCGGCAAAACAAUAACUGCCAAAAACGACAGUUCUUCUUACGAUUACGCCUUAGCCGCGUAGUCUCGUGGGACCCUCCCGCCGCUCUGAGGGUGGGCUUCCGCGAAACAAUCAGAGCUGGUUCCGCGCCGGUUUCGGACGGCCCGAAACGAGAACCUCCCGAACUACGGAUGCGCCGCGAGCCGCGCCGCCCAGCGUAUCCCGACAAUGAAACCGCGGCUAAACCUGUAGAGGCUUGUAUUUCGCGUAUUAGGACGCGGGUUCGACUCCCGCCACCUCCAUUU
rnacentral:tmRNA from 1 species